rnacentral:rRNA from 1 species
AUUGAACGCUGGCGGCAGGCCUAACACAUGCAAGUCGAACGGUAACAGGAAGCAGCUUGCUGCUUUGCUGACGAGUGGCGGACGGGUGAGUCAUGUCUGGGAAACUGCCCGAUGGAGGGGGAUAACUACUGGAAACGGUAGCUAAUACCGCAUAACGUCGCAAGAACAAAGAGGGGGGCCUUAGGGCCUCUUGCCAUCGGAUGUGCCCAGCUGGGCAUCGCUAGUAGGUGGGGUAACGGCUCACCUAGGCGACUAUCCCUAGAUGGUCGGAGAGGAGGACCAGCCACACGGGAACUGGGACACGGUCCAUACUCCUACGGGAGGCAGCAGUGGGGAAUAUUGCACAAUGGGCGCAAGCCUGAUGCAGCCAUGCCGCGUGUAUGAAGAAGGCCUUCGGGUUGUAAAGUACGUUCAGCGGGGAGGAAGGGAGUAAAGUUAAUACCUUUGCUGAUUGACGUUACCCGCAGAAGAAGCACCGGCUAACUCCGUG